AGAGUUUGAUCCUGGCUCAGAGCGAACGUUUGCGGCGGGCUUAACACAUGCAAGUCGAACGAGAAUCUCCGCUUCGGUGGAGAGGAAAGUGGCGCACGGGUGCGUAACACGUGGGUAAUCAACCCUCUAGAUUGGGACAACCCGGGGAAACUCGGGCUAAUACCAGAUGUCGCCUCUCUGUCUUCGGACUAGGAGGUAAAAGGAGCAAUCCGCUAGAGGACGAGCCCGCGGCCUAUCAGGUAGUUGGAGAGGUAAAAGCUCACCAAGCCGAAGACGGGUAGCUGGUCUGAGAGGAUGAUCAGCCACACUGGAACUGAGACACGGUCCAGACUCCUACGGGAGGCAGCAGUGGGGAAUAUUGCGCAAUGGGCGAAAGCCUGACGCAGCCACGCCGCGUGAGCGAUGAAGGCCCUAGGGUCGUAAAGCUCUGUGGAGGGAGAAGAAACCUGACGGUAUCCCUUUAGCAAGCACCGGCUAACUCCGUGCCAGCAGCCGCGGAUACGGAGGGUGCGAACGUUG
rnacentral:rRNA from 1 species